AAUAUUGGACAAUGGGGGCAACCCUGAUCCAGCCAUGCCGCGUGUGUGAAGAAGGUCUUCGGAUUGUAAAGCACUUUAAGUUGGGAGGAAGGGCUUUAGGUUAAUACCCUGAAGUUUUGAUGUUAUCAACAGAAUAAGCACCGGCUAACUCUCUUCUAGCAGCCGCGGUAAUACAGAGGGUGCAAGUGCUAAUCGGAAUUACUGGGCGUAAAGCGCGAGUAGGGAGUUCAGUAAGAUGGGUGUGAAAACCCCGGGCUUAACCUGGGAACUGCUUUCAUAACUGCUGAGCUAGAGUACGGUAGAGGGUAGUGGAAUUUCCUGUGUAGCGGUGAAAUGCGUAGAUAUAGGAAGGAACACCAGUGGCGAAGGCGACUACCUGGACUGAUACUGACACUGAGGUGCGAAAGCGUGGGGAGCAAACA
rnacentral:rRNA from 1 species